UACUGAAGAUCAAUUCUAGCCCGGAUUUUCACGGGACUGAGGAAAAUAUUAUGUCAAGAACUAACUUGGGAGCCAUUAACCCUAUCACACCGGAAAUGACAAAGUACAAUUACUUCCGCAUCCGGAUUGCAGUGGAUCAUAUUACAAACAACCCAAAUACCAGCUCGUCAGGUCAUCUCCGUAGGCUUUGUUUGAACAAGUAAAAGCUCUGAAUUCAU